rnacentral:misc_RNA from 1 species
GAUGAAGAACGUAGCGAAAUGCGAUAAGUAAUGUGAAUUGCAGAGUUCAGUGAAUCAUCGAAUCUUUGAACGCACAUUGCGCCCGUUAGUAUUCUGACGGGCAUGCCUGUCCGAGCGUCAUUUAAACCCUUAAGCCCGGCUUGUCGUUGAGUCCCACCGGCGGCGACGUCGGUGGAUUCGAAAGAUAGUGGCCGAGUCCCCGGACCCUGGAUGCAGCGAGCUUUCUCCAGCACGCAUCUCGGCGGUCGACGGGGAUCUUGGUCUCCACCUCUGAACAAUGUUCACCUCUGGUUGACCUCGGAUCAGGUAGGGAUACCCGCUGAACUUAAGCAUAUCAAUAAGCGGAGGA